rnacentral:rRNA from 1 species
AGAGUUUGUAUCCUGGCUCAGGACAACGGCUGGCGGCGUGCUUAACACAUGCAAGUCGAACGGAGUACCCUCGAAAGAGAUUUCGGUCAAUGGAGAGGACUACUUAGUGGCGGACGGGUGAGUAACGCGUGAGGAACCUGCCUUUCAUGGGGGACAACAUUGGAAACGACUGCUAAUACCGCAUAACGUACUGGUAUCGCAUGGUACUGGUACCAAAGAUUUAUCGCUGAGAGAUGGCCUCGCGUCUGAUUAGCUAGUUGGUAGGGUAACGGCCUACCAAGGCGACGAUCAGUAGCCGGACUGAGAGGUUGGCCGGCCACAUUGGGACUGAGAUACGGCCCAGACUCCUACGGGAGGCAGCAGUGGGGAAUAUUGGGCAAUGGGCGCAAGCCUGACCCAGCAACGCCGCGUGAAGGAAGAAGGCCUUCGGGUUGUAAACUUCUUUUGACAGGGAAGAGCAGAAGACGGUACCUGUCGAAUAAGCCACGGCUAACUACGUG